rnacentral:rRNA from 1 species
UACGUAGGGGGCUAGCGUUGUCCGGAUUUAUUGGGCGUAAAGAGCGUGUAGGCGGCCAGGUAGGUCUGGUGUGAAAACUCGAGGCUUAACCUCGAGAUGUCAUCGGAAACCAUCUGGCUAGAGUCCGGAAGAGGAGAGUGGAAUUCCUGGUGUAGCGGUGAAAUGCGCAGAUAUCAGGAAGAACACCAAUGGCGAAAGCAGCUCUCUGGGACGGUACUGACGCUGAGACGCGAAAGCCGUGGGGAGCGAACAGG